CCUACGGGGUGCUGCAGUGGGGAAUAUUGGACAAUGGGCGAAAGCCUGAUCCAGCCAUGCCGCGUGUGUGAAGAAGGCCUUCGGGUUGUAAAGCACUUUCAGUGGGGAAGAAAGCCUUGGGGCUAAUACCCUCGAGGAAGGACAUCACCCACAGAAGAAGCACCGGCUAACUCCGUGCCAGCAGCCGCGGUAAUACGGAGGGUGCGAGCGUUAAUCGGAAUUACUGGGCGUAAAGCGCGCGUCGGCGGUCUGAUAAGCCGGUUGUGAAAGCCCCGGGCUCAACCUGGGAACGGCAUCCGGAACUGCAAGGCUAGAGUGCAGGAGAGGAAGGUAGAAUUCCCGGUGUAGCGGUGAAAUGCGUAGAGAUCGGGAGGAAUACCAGUGGCGAAGGCGGCCUUCUGGACUGACACUGACGCUGAGGUGCGAAAGCGUGGGUAGCAAACAGGAUUAGAUACCCUGGUAGUC
rnacentral:rRNA from 1 species